CUGAGCCAUGUGCCGAGAAAAGCCGCUAUCGUUUUAUAUGUGCCCGUACCGUAAACCGACACAGGUGGAUGAGGAGAGAAUCCUAAGGCCGACGGAAGAAGCAUUGUUAAGGAACUCGGCAAAAUGACCCCGUAACUUCGGGAGAAGGGGUGCCCACUUCAGGGUGGGCCGCAGAGAAUAGGCUCAAGCAACUGUUUAGCAAAAACACAGGUCUAUGCGAAACCGUAAGGUGAAGUAUAUGGGCUGACGCCUGCCCGGUGCUGGAAGGUUAAGAGGAGAGGUUAGUCGCAAGAUGAAGCUUUGAAUUUAAGCCCCAGUAAACGGCGGCCGUAACAAUAACGGUCCUAAGGUAGCGAAAUUCCUUGUCGGGUAAGUUCCGACCCGCACGAAAGGCGUAAUGAUUUGAGCACUGUCUCGACAAUGCAUCCGGUGAAAUUGAAGUACCAGUGAAGAUGCUGGUUACCCGCGCCAGGACGGAAAGACCCCAUGGAGCUUUACUCCAGUUUGGUACUGGGAUUCGGUACUGCAUGUACAGGAUAGGUGGGAGACUGAGAAAUUGGAACGCCAGUUUCAAUGGAGUCACUGUUGGGAUACCACCCCUGCAGUAUUGGGUUUCUAACCAGCCGCUGUGAUCCAGCGGUGGGACAAUGCCAGGCGGGGAGUUUGACUGGGGCGGUCGCCUCCGAAAGGGUAUCGGAGGCGCUCAAAGGUUCCCUCAGAAUGGUCGGAAACCAUUUUAAGAGUGCAAAGGCAGAAGGGAGCUUGACUGCGACACCGACGGGUGGAGCAGGUACGAAAGUAGGACUUAGUGAUCCGGUGGCAUAAAGUGGGAUUGCCAUCGCUCAACGGAUAAAAGCUACCCUGGGAUAACAGGCUUAUCACUCCCAAGAGUUCACAUCGACGGAGUGGUUUGGCACCUCGAUGUCGGCUCAUCGCAUCCUGGGGCUGUAGCAGGUCCCAAGGGUUGGGCUGUUCGCCCAUUAAAGCGGUACGCGAGCUGGGUUCAGAACGUCGUGAGACAGUUCGGUCCCUAUCCGGCGCGGGCGGAGGAUAUUUGAGAGGAGCUGUCCUUAGUACGAGAGGACCGGGAUGGACGGACCACUGGUGUAUCUGCUGUCGACCAACGGCAUGGCAGAGUAGCCAAGUCCGGAAGGGAUAAACGCUGAGGGCAUCUAAGCGUGAAGCCCCCCUCAAGAUGAGAUAUCCCUCACAUAAGUGAGUAAGAUCCCUUGAAGAGUACAAGGUAGAUAGGGCAGAGGUGGAAGCAUGGUAACAUGUGGAGCUGACUGUUACUAAUCGAUCGAGGGCUUGACCA
rnacentral:rRNA from 1 species